AUGACCAUAUCAUAUUGAAACACCAGUUCCAAUACAAUCACUGAAGUUAAGCAAUGUCAAACUAGUUCAUUACCUAGAUGGGUGAUUACUUGGGAAUACCAGGUGCUGUAAG